AUCCCUUUACCAUUAUGUAAUGGCCUUCUUUGUCUCUUUGGACACAGGGAGGGGAACAUCACACACCAGAGCCUGUUGGGGGCUGGGGGACAAGGGGAGUGAGAGCAUUAGAACAAAUACCUAACGCAUCCGGGACUUACAAUCUAGAUGACGGGUUGACAGGUGCAGCAAACCACCAUGGCACAUGUAUACCUAUUGUAUACCUAUGUAACAAACCUGCACGUUCUACACAUGUAUUCCAGAACUUAUCCCAGCACUUGGGGAGGCUGAGGUGGGCAGAUCAUGAGGUCAGGAGAUCGAG
rnacentral:lncRNA from 10 species